ACACGCAGAAGGUCCUGGGUUCGAGCCCCAGUGG
rnacentral:piRNA from 3 species